UACGUAGGGCGCAAGCGUUGUCCGGAAUUAUUGGGCGUAAAGAGCUCGUAGGUGGUUUGUCGCGUCUGCCGUGAAAGCCCGGGGCUUAACCCCGGGUCUGCAUUCGAUACGGGCAGGCUAGAGUUCGGUAGGGGAGAUCGGAAUUCCUGGUGUAGCGGUGAAAUGCGCAGAUAUCAGGAGGAACACCGGUGGCGAAGGCGGAUCUCUGGGCCGAUACUGACGCUGAGGAGCGAAAGCGUGGGGAGCGAACAGG
rnacentral:rRNA from 1 species